UUUCUAUGUUAGUUGAGUAAGGAUGCUGACCUACUGAUCGGAUCUCCAGCCCAGGACUAUGGUUUUCCAAUAGUUAGAGGUCAUUGAUCCUGAAGGAAAAUUUUUUGCCUAAGAAUUGGAGCUGCCUGAUCUCUACAUAUUGCAAAUGGUCUGACCUUUUCAUUCAAUAGUCACUAGGCAUGGACAGCCUGGUUCUGAGUGUGCAAAGCUGUGGCUUCCCCUCCUAUAGACGCCUUCUGAACAGCAAAUCUGACUUCCUCCUCAGACCAAGGCAUCCUGAAAACAUCCAAGCAGAGGAAGCAUUUUUUCACCAUGACAUGGGAAAGGGCCACAGAGAUCCAAAUGGAAACGGACAUUUCAUGCCUCCCAGUGCAAGCCCUGGCCCUGCCUUAAAGCCUCCGAGACAAAAACAACAAAACGCAGUGUGGAGAGAAAUGAAAAAGGCUGUAAUACUAUUUAAAGAAUGGAUUAAGUACAAUUUUCAGACGCUGGAUUUAUUCUCCUAUUGGAAUGUUAAAUUAGACAACAGAGAAGGAAAACUCACCUUGUUUGAAACAUUCAGAUGUUUCCCUAACAGUCAUUUCCAUUUGUAUUCCCUGCAGUCUGUUCCUGUACGUCGCUGA
ensembl:lncRNA